CAGUAAGGUCAGCUAACUAAGCUAUCGGGCCCAUACCCCGAAAAUGCCACACGGCCCUUACUAA
rnacentral:tRNA from 1 species